rnacentral:rRNA from 1 species
UGCAGUCGNACGAAGUAGCAAUACUUAGUGGCAGACGGGUGAGUAACAUGUAGGUAUCUACCCUUUGGCCUGGAAUAACACGAGGAAACUUGUGCUAAUACCGGAUAAGUCUUUACAGAGAAAGCUUUAUGCACCAUUGGAUGAGCCUGCACUUGAUUAGUUUGUUGGUAGGGUAAUGGCCUACCAAGACUGUGAUCAAUAGCUGAUUUGAGAGGAUGAUCAGCCACAUUGGGACUGAGACACGGCCCAAACUCCUACGGGAGGCAGCAGUGGGGAAUCUUGCACAAUGGAGGAAACUCUGAUGCAGCGAUGCCGCGUGAGUGAAGAAGGCCUUUGGGUUGUAAAGCUCUUUCGUCGGGGAAGAAAAUGACUGUACCCGAAUAAGAAGGUCCGGCUAACUUCGUGCCAGCAGCCGCGGUAAUACGAAGGGACCUAGCGUAGUUCGGAAUUACUGGGCUUAAAGAGUUCGUAGGUGGUUGAAAAAGUUGGUGGUGAAAUCCCAGAGCUUAACUCUGGAACUGCCAUCAAAACUUUUCAGCUAGAGUAUGAUAGAGGAAAGCAGANUUUCUAGUGUAGAGGUGAAAUUCGUAGAUAUUAGAAAGAAUACCAAUUGCGAANGCAGCUUUCUGGAUCAUUACUGACACUGANGAACGAAAGCAUGGGUAGCGAANANGANUAGAUACCCUCGUAGUCCAUGCCGUAAACGAUGUGUGUUAGACGUUGGAAAUUUAUUUUCAGUGUCGCANCGAAAGCANUAAACAC